rnacentral:rRNA from 1 species
AUAGAGACUCAGAGCUGCAUAUCAAUAAGCGGAGGAAAAGAAACUAACAAGGAUUCCCUUAGUAACGGCGAGUGAAGCGGGAAGAGCUCAAAUUUGAAAUCUUCAAGGUACUACCUUGACGAAUUGUAGUUUAAAGAAGUGUUUUCUGUUAGAUGAGUAGCAAAAGUUCCUUGGAAUAGGGCAUCAUAGAGGGUGAGAAUCCCGUAUUUGACCAUUAUUUCCAGCUUUGUGAUACACUUUCAAAGAGUCGGAUUGUUUGGGAAUGCAGUCCAAAAUGGGUGGUAAAUUUCAUCUAAAGCUAAAUAUUGGCGAGAGACCGAUAGCGAACAAGUACCGUGAGGGAAAGAUGAAAAGAACUUUGAAAAGAGAGUUAAACAGUACGUGAAAUUGUCAAAAGGGAAGCGUUUGACACCAGUGUUGUUUUCUCGAAAAUCAAUUAAAAAAGGCUGGAUUUUGUGUUGUAUUGACCUUAUCAGCUUUCUGCACUUUUUUCGAGUCUUUCUUAAUGCACUUUUCGGUUAACAAGUCAACAUCAAUUUCUUUUGUUGUAAAAGAGUAUUCGGAAGGUGGCUUUCUUUUCGGAGAAAGUGUUUAUAGCCCUAUACUUCUACAAUCGGAGAGAUUGAGGUCUGCAGCGUAGAUCCUUCGGGGUUAGAUACAUUUGUGCUAAGUUGUAGCUUUUCAUAGACAACUUGUUGACUAUGUUUAGUCAUGCGGCUUACUCGCUUAUGCUAUUUUACCUACGCUUAGGAUGUUGACGAUCAGCUGAGCGCG